AAGUCGUAACAAGGUUUCCAUAGGGACAUACUAAAUGUAGUAUCCUUCAAUGAAGCCUUGUAUCUUAGUCAAUAACAACAAGAACAAUAGAGCAAAGUAGGAAAUGUGUUAGAUUUAAUACUAACUGCCCAACCGCUCUGCUUGUGUUGUUGGAAGUUGGCGACACUGUCCCUGUGCUUGGAGGUUGUUUAGACCAACCAGCAGCUCUGUUAUUCAUUUUUAACAAAGUCCACAGAUCAAACGACGGUGGUCCAGAGCUUUUUCGCGUUCUCGAAUAUUUGAAAGAAUUGGAAGAACCGGGGAAAACUUGGCGGAUUAAAAUAUGACCGGCCUACCCUUGAAAAGGGGGUUAGACCCAUGCGUUCCGUAGGUGAACCUGCGGAAGGAUCAUUACUGAGAACUUGCCCUUUGGGUAGAUCUCCCACCCUAUGUUUACAUACUUUGUUGCUUUGGCAGGCCUGCAUCUGUGCUACUGGCCUUGGGCUAGUUAGUGCCUGCCGGAGAACCAACACUCUGUAUCAUUUAUCGUCUGAGUACUAUUUAAUAGUUAAAA
rnacentral:misc_RNA from 1 species